UAGCUGAGUUUCUGAGUAUAUAACUUGAUAUGUGAUAUGAAUCUUGGUAAGACAAAGUCAUUUGAUAAACGUGUUAGUCAUUACUCUAUAAUCCACUUUCAGUAGUUAGUUCUUUACUUUUUGAAGUUUUAUUACCCAUGUUUGUAUUAUGGGUUUAUAUCCAUUUCCUGAUUAUUCUAUAUAUGUUUUCCCCAUAAACAAUGUCUUUCUAAUCCCCCUCAGGAAUUGAUAGAGUUAAAUGGAAUGAUGGACUAAUGUCUCCUGUUAGAAUCUGUUACAGACCCUCUUAUGUCCAGUACCUGAUAAUCAGGUAUAUCAACCAGACCACAGGACUAAGGUCUCCUGUUAGAAUCUGUUACAGACUAUCUUAUGUCCAGUACCUGAUAAUCAGGUAUAUCAACCAGACCACAGGACUAAUGUCUCCUGUUAGAAUCUGUUACAGACUCUCUUAUGUCCAGUACCUGAUAAUCAGGUAUAUCAACCAGACCACAGGACUAAUGUCUCCUGUUAGAAUCUGUUACAGACUCUCUUAUGUCCAGUACCUGAUAAUCAGGUGUAUCAACCAGACCACAGGACUAAUGUCUCCUGUUAGAAUCUGUUUCAGACCCUCUUAUGUCCAGUACCUGAUAAUCAGGUAUAUCAACCAGACCACAGGACUAAGGUCUCCUGUUAGAAUCUGUUACAGACUCUCUUAUGUCCAGUACCUGAUAAUCAGGUAUAUCAACCAGACCACAGGACUAAGGUCUCCUGUUAGAAUCUGUUACAGACUCUCUUAUGUCCAGUACCUGAUAAUCAGGUAUAUCAACCAGACCACAGGACUAAGGUCUCCUGUUAGAAUCUGUUACAGACUCUCUUAUGUCCAGUACCUGAUAAUCAGGUAUAUCAACAAGACCACAGGACUAAGGUCUCCUGUUAGAAUCUGUUACAGACUCUCUUAUGUCCAGUACCUGAUAAUCACAGGUAUAUCAACAAGACCACAGGACUAAGGUCUCCUGUUAGAAUCUGUUACAGACUCUCUUAUGUCCAGUACCUGAUAAUCAGGUAUAUCAACCAGACCACAGGACUAAGGUCUCCUGUUAGAAUCUGUUACAGACUCUCUUAUGUCCAGUACCUGAUAAUCAGGUAUAUCAACAAGACCACAGGACUAAUGUCUCCUGUUAGAAUCUGUUACAGACUCUCUUAUGUCCAGUACCUGAUAAUCAGGUAUAUCAACAAGACCACAGGACUAAUGUCUCCUGUUAGAAUCUGUUACAGACUCUCUUAUGUCCAGUACCUGAUAAUCAGGUAUAUCAACCAGACCACAGGACUAAUGUCUCCUGUUAGAAUCUGUUACAGACCCUCUUAUGUCCAGUACCUGAUAAUCACAGGUAUAUCAACAAGACCACAGGACUAAGGUCUCCUGUUAGAAUCUGUUACAGACUCUCUUAUGUCCAGUACCUGAUAAUCACAGGUAUAUCAACAAGACCACAGGACUAAUGUCUCCUGUUAGAAUCUGUUACAGACUCUCUUAUGUCCAGUACCUGAUAAUCAGGUAUAUCAACAAGACCACAGGACUAAUGUCUCCUGUUAGAAUCUGUUACAGACUCUCUUAUGUCCAGUACCUGAUAAUCACAGGUAUAUCAACAAGACCACAGGACUAAGGUCUCCUGUUAGAAUCUGUUACAGACUCUCUUAUGUCCAGUACCUGAUAAUCAGGUAUAUCAACAAGACCACAGGACUAAGGUCUCCUGUUAGAAUCUGUUACAGACUCUCUUAUGUCCAGUACCUGAUAAUCAGGUAUAUCAACCAGACCACAGGAGGUUGGUGGCACCUUAAUUAGGGAGGACGGGCUCGUGGUAUUGGCUGAAGAGGAAUCAGUGGACUGGUAUCAAAUACAUCAAACACACGGUUUCCAUGGCUUCCAUGUUU